rnacentral:rRNA from 1 species
CCUACGGGAGGCUGCAGUAGGGAAUCUUCGGCAAUGGGGGCAACCCUGACCGAGCAACGCCGCGUGAGUGAAGAAGGUUUUCGGAUCGUAAAGCUCUGUUGUAAGAGAAGAACGAGUGUGAGAGUGGAAAGUUCACACUGUGACGGUAACUUACCAGAAAGGGACGGCUAACUACGUGCCAGCAGCCGCGGUAAUACGUAGGUCCCGAGCGUUAUCCGGAUUUAUUGGGCGUAAAGCGAGCGCAGGCGGUUAGAUAAGUCUGAAGUUAAAGGCUGUGGCUUAACCAUAGUACGCUUUGGAAACUGUUUAACUUGAGUGCAAGAGGGGAGAGUGGAAUUCCAUGUGUAGCGGUGAAAUGCGUAGAUAUAUGGAGGAACACCGGUGGCGAAAGCGGCUCUCUGGUCUGUAACUGACGCUGAGGCUCGAAAGCGUGGGUAGCGAACAGGAUUAGAUACCCUGGUAGUC